AUCAGAAUGUGCUGAAUUGUGCCCACUGGUGACUGCAGCGGCUUUUUCCUCUCUAGACAGUGAGGCUACUUCCUUCUCCAAGCCAGCUCUCCGGGGUGUCCGGGGCACAGUUCUUCCCCCUCUACGGCCCUCUCCUUCCCAGCACACGCAGGACCACGCAUCUGCUGAAAUGCUGCUUCCGUCACUUGUCCCAGGAGAGAGCUGUUUCUGGACACUGAGCCACGGAUUCUCCAGUCCCUGAACUGCUCCUGAUGGAUCCCUGGAGGAAGAGAAGACUGUAGAAAAACAAAACACACAAACACAAACCAGACUGGGCAUGGGGUGUAACGAGAGAUGAAGAGCCACAGAAUCAAACAUAAGGCUUCCUCUGGCAAAGCUGUUAUCCACCAGCCUCAAUCUUAAAAUGUCUUUUAAAGUUUCAAGAGCAAUUCAUGCUAAGGCAUCAUACUGAGGAACGAAGCUAAAAAAAAAAAGUUGGAAAGUAUUUCCCACAGGAAAUGCACCCUGCUUGCUCUCUCCGGCCUGUAUUGAAGCCAAAUUUCUAUCUACAGAGGAAAGACCUUGGUUUCUUUGCCCCCCUCUCUCCUCUUACAAUAUUAUUAGGUUGCAAACAAUAGCUUUUUUGUUGCAA